UUUAAUCAGUUUCAACAGCGAUGAUUUCUGACAUGAAAAACAAAUGCUUAAUUAAGAUACAAACAUGUCCUGAGACUGUGAUAAAGUCAGCUUAGCAAAAAGAAGGCAGAAUGAAAUUCUUACCCGUGUUUCCUGACUGAAGCACAGAGGUUUGUGAGCGGGAAGGCGCUGAAGGAUCUCCGGAGUGUGUGACCCAAACCGGCAGGGGCACAGCCGGAGCUGUGGGGAGCUGAUGCCAUGGAGAACACAGCCCUGGAAGGUGCCUGCACUCACACUGUGCACUUCCACCUCUCCACCCUUUCCCACAGCAGUGCCUUGCCAAGAGGUGAGAGCAGCACAGGGACUCCCGUGGUGCUAGAGCAGGCAAAGCUGCCCUCGGUGACAACCUUCUGCCCAAAGUAAGGCAGAAGUGCUGAGGCCAGCCUCACACUCUGAACGUGCUACCUCCUGCUUCCACACCAGAAGCUGUACAGAAGAUCCAUCAUCUAAAAUGGGAUUCCUGCUCCUUCACAUUCAUGGGAACAGGAUUUGGACCCAGUUAAAUAUUCAGCAAAUGCCUAAUGAUCAACAAAACAAAAACCCCAAAAGCCCUGAAACAAACUUGCUACAGCUACAAGUCCAAGUGGGAGACCAGAAACAAUCAGGCUAUGAAGGCCAAAAAAGGCUGUACUUUAAAAAUGUUUCCCACUACAUACAAGAACAAAUGCAGGAUGUGAUGUUUGUUUAGUUUUAUUAAUUUAUUUUUGCAGGAAUCUGCAACUUGGAGUAUGCACUUUCUGGAGGUACCAUGCAUGCAUAGCCUCUGAAUGCUUUUAUACAAUUUCAUCUCUUAGUAAUAAGUUCAUUCACAGCAUACACAAAUCUAGAAUGUAGACACCAUAUAUACAGGAUUAAACAAGAUCGUGUCUUCUUCUUUAAUGAAAAAAUUUAACAGGGUUUCACACAGCAGGAAGUAUGGAUUAGAUACACUGGUGCCACCAUAAAUAAAUAAGUUUCAAGAAUACAGUUUUUUAAAAUUGGUUUCAAAGAUACUGGAAAUCCAGGAUUAUAAUAUUGCAUUUACUCCAUUGAUUUCUGAUUAUUUCAAGAAAAAUAUUUGCAUUUACGGACAUAUACAGCAAUGAAAACCCCAACUGAAGAAAUGUGGCAAAACUCAGUCAUGUCUGGGUUCAUGUAAGACUGACUUUUUGAAAUGAAAACAAAUGCAGCUGCACACAGAGACAGUACUGACUGUGAGAUGUGAUAUCUGUGCAUGCCUUCCUUGUGGGAUUUGGAGUCACUGCAGUACAGGGCACAAUUCUGUGGUACCAAAUUGGCUGUUGAAUUGUUUGUGUCCAACCAUCCACUUCUCAUCAGGAUAGUCAUGUUCACAUUCUAGGGUACACCACUGGAUUUUAAAAGAAGAACUAUCGUCCUGAUGACAAGUUUGUUUUUAACAUAUAUAAUAUUCUCACAUUCUUUUUAAAAACAUUCUUUAUUGUUUUUAUUUUGUCCCCAUUUAAACUCAAGUAUUUGUAUUUCAGUUUCAAGGGAUUUUACAAUCAAUAUUAAAUGUAGAAGUAUUUAGAAAUUGAAAAAGUAUUUAGAAAUUGAAGUGAGAGAUGUAUAGCUGGGAGAGAUAAAGUAACUGAGAGAAAAGCUGGGUUUUAAAAAAAAACUAAACAUGAUUCAGUAGCAUAUCAUAAUCAGAAAGUACUGAGACCAGCUCUUUUAAGAAUUAUUACACCUUUUCACCACACCUCCCAUUUUUCAAGGGAAACACACACAUACCACAGACACACAGAUACACAAUUCAAUCUGAUCUAAGACUACAUUUUACAAAGUACUUCCUUUCCUUUUCCUUUCCCACCCCCUUCCUCUUCACCCAAACAAGACUAAUAAUUACAUCAAAUUAAAAGUAGAUCCAAA